UACGAAGGGGGCUAGCGUUGUUCGGAAUUACUGGGCGUAAAGCGCGCGCAGGCGGUUCUUCAAGUCAGAGGUGAAAGCCCAGGGCUCAACCCUGGAAUGGCCUUUGAGACUAGAGAACUAGGGUACGGGAGAGGUGAGUGGAAUUCCGAGUGUAGAGGUGAAAUUCGUAGAUAUUCGGAAGAACACCAGUGGCGAAGGCGGCUCACUGGCCCGUUACCGACGCUCAGGCGCGACAGCGUGGGGAGCAAACAGG
rnacentral:rRNA from 2 species